GUGAGGAAUAUUGGUCAAUGGGCGGGAGCCUGAACCAGCCAAGUCGCGUGAAGGAAGAAGGAUCUAUGGUUCGUAAACUUCUUUUGCAGGGGAAUAAAGUGCAGGACGUGUCCUGUUUUGUAUGUACCCUGAGAAUAAGGAUCGGCUAACUCCGUGCCAGCAGCCGCGGUAAUACGGAGGAUCCGAGCGUUAUCCGGAUUUAUUGGGUUUAAAGGGUGCGUAGGUGGUUUGAUAAGUCAGCGGUGAAAGUUUGCAGCUUAACUGUAAAAAUGCCGUUGAAACUGUCGGACUUGAGUGUAGAUGAGGUAGGCGGAAUGCGUGGUGUAGCGGUGAAAUGCAUAGAUAUCACGCAGAACUCCGAUUGCGAAGGCAGCUUACUAAGCUACAACUGACACUGAAGCACGAAAGCGUGGGGAUCAAACAGGAUUAGAUACCCCUGUAGUCC
rnacentral:rRNA from 1 species